UACGUAGGGUGCGAGCGUUGCCCGGAUUUAUUGGGCGUAAAGGGUGCGUAGGCGGUUCCGCAAGUCCUGUGUGAAAUCUUCGGGCUCAACUCGAAGUCUGCACGGGAAACUGCGGGGCUUGAGUGUGGGAGAGGUGAGUGGAAUUCCCGGUGUAGCGGUGAAAUGCGCAGAUAUCAGGAGGAACACCAAUGGCGAAGGCAGCUCGCUGGGACGGUACUGACGCUGAGACGCGAAAGCGUGGGGAGCAAACAGG
rnacentral:rRNA from 1 species